rnacentral:tRNA from 1 species
GCCAGUGUGGCGUAGUGGUUUGAGUGUUGGACUGCAAUUCUGGAGACUAGGGUUUGAUUCCCCGUUUGACC